rnacentral:rRNA from 1 species
UACAGAGGGGGCGAGCGUUGUUCGGAAUUACUGGGCGUAAAGGGCGCGUAGGCGGCCUCUUAAGUCGAACGUGAAAUCCCCGGGCUCAACCUGGGAAUUGCAGUCGAGACUGUUCGGCUAGAGUGUGGGAGAGGGCAGUGGAAUUCCCGGUGUAGCGGUGAAAUGCGUAGAUAUCGGGAGGAACAUCAGUGGCGAAGGCGACUGCCUGGCCCAACACUGACGCUGAGGUGCGAAAGCGUGGGUAGCAAACAGG